rnacentral:rRNA from 1 species
CGGAGGAUCCGAGCGUUAUCCGGAUUUAUUGGGUUUAAAGGGUGCGUAGGCGGCUUUUUAAGUCAGCGGUGAAAUUUUGCAGCUUAACUGUAACAGUGCCGUUGAUACUGGGGAGCUAGGAUUUGGUUGCUGUGGGUGGAAUGUGUGGUGUAGCGGUGAAAUGCUUAGAGAUCACACAGAAUAUCGAUUGCGAAGGCAGCUCACAAAGCCAAGAUUGACGCUGAGGCACGAAAGUGUGGGGAUCAAACAGGAUUA